UACGGGGGGGGGCAAGCGUUGUUCGGAAUUACUGGGCGUAAAGGGCUCGUAGGUGGCCAACUAAGUCAGACGUGAAAUCCCUCGGCUUAACCGGGGGAACUGCGUCUGAUACUGGAUGGCUUGAGAUUGGGAGAGGGAUGCGGAAUUCCAGGUGUAGCGGUGAAAUGCGUAGAUAUCUGGAGGAACACCGGUGGCGAAGGCGGCGUCCUGGACCAACACUGACGCUGAGGAGCGAAAGCCAGGGGAGCAAACGGG
rnacentral:rRNA from 1 species